GGGGAAUUUUGGACAAUGGGCGAAAGCCUGAUCCAGCCAUUCCGCGUGCAGGAUGAAGGCCCUCGGGUUGUAAACUGCUUUUGUACAGAACGAAAAAGCUCUGGCUAAUACCUGGAGUCCAUGACGGUACUGUAAGAAUAAGCACCGGCUAACUACGUGCCAGCAGCCGCGGUAAUACGUAGGGUGCAAGCGUUAAUCGGAAUUACUGGGCGUAAAGCGUGCGCAGGCGGUUUUGUAAGACAGAGGUGAAAUCCCCGGGCUCAACCUGGGAACUGCCUUUGUGACUGCAAGGCUGGAGUGCGGCAGAGGGGGAUGGAAUUCCGCGUGUAGCAGUGAAAUGCGUAGAUAUGCGGAGGAACACCGAUGGCGAAGGCAAUCCCCUGGGCCUGCACUGACGCUCAUGCACGAAAGCGUGGGGAGCAAAC
rnacentral:rRNA from 1 species